rnacentral:tRNA from 1 species
GGUUAUGGCUCAGUGGUAGAGUGUGUGCUUAGUAUGCAUGAGGUCCUGGGUUCAAUCCCCAGUACCACCA